rnacentral:lncRNA from 1 species
GCCGCAUAAGCCGCCUGCAAUGGAGGAAAGCACCACCCUUGAUGAAACCCUUACCACCUUGGAUGGUGGCAAGAAGAAACCGCCACCCAAAAAGAAACCUCCAAUGGAAGAAACCGCCACCCUUGAUGAGGAAACCCUGACCACCUUGGACGGUGGCAAGCCUCCCAAGAAGAAGCCUCCGCCGAUAAAGCCACCACCAAAGCACAAGCCUCCAACGGGUGUUGAGGACGCCCACAAGCCACCUGGUGGUGGUGGCCACAAGCCACCUGGUGGUGGUGGCCAUAGGCCACCACCUUUGAACUAAUCAUAAGUAGCCAAGUUCGUCUCAUGGCAUAUGCAGAACGUGGUGUACUAGAAUAAGAGCUUGGAUUCAAUCAGUUGGUCAUGCUUACUGCAAUUUCGUGAUAUCGAUAUCAUGUUGUCAUGUAAUUCGUAGUCAUGCGGUCUAGCCAGCUAGAUUUUGGGCAAGUUAAUGUGCAUGAGACGUGUAUCCAUCUUCUGAGCAUUGGAGACUUGAAUAUGAGUGGUUCGCUCUUUAUGUUAUUAACUUCUCCUUUCACAUAAUUGUAGGUGUUUCAUAGCAGUGAAAUGGGCACAUGCCAGUCAUUGA